CCUCCUCAUCUCGAGGGUCCUGGCAGCGCAUCCCCGAGUGCCGUCGCAAGUGACGCGAGGAAGCUAGCGCCAACUCGCCAAGCCCCCGCCGCUCCGUCCAAGCGCCGCCGUCCGUCGGCCUUCCCAAUUGGCGCUGCUGCCCCUACGCCUUCCCGUCCGCCGCCACCGCUCUGCCUCCCCGUCAACGGCAACGCCACCAUUCACUCGAUGUGUCGACCUGCAGCGAAAUCUCUAUGUCGACCGCAUCCUGUACAUCCAUCACGGCGCCUCCAAAUCGUCUUGCUCUUCGGCACAUUACAGAGGCUCCAUCAGAGCACUGGAAAGCAAAACGCGUGCUCAUCAUUACACUAAUGCAUCAUAAGAUGGCGUUUCUUAUCAAAAGUCAAGAUCCUACCGUUACAAAUUCAAAUGGAGUCUCUAUUAUAUCCUAGUUCUUUCCUGUUGUUUAUUAACAACAUGCUGUUUUUUCCUUAUGUGAAUUAAGUUCGAAACUUAUUUGGAAGCCGCCAGA